rnacentral:rRNA from 1 species
UACGUAGGGUGCGAGCGUUGUCCGGAUUUAUUGGGCGUAAAGAGCUCGUAGGCGGCUUGUCGCGUCGGAUGUGAAAGCCCGGGGCUUAACUCCGGGUCUGCAUUCGAUACGGGCAGGCUAGAGUGUGGUAGGGGAGAUCGGAAUUCCUGGUGUAGCGGUGAAAUGCGCAGAUAUCAGGAGGAACACCGGUGGCGAAGGCGGUUAGCUGGGACAGUUGCU